UCUGUUUGAUCCCGCCGGAGGUCACUGCUAUUGGGAUUCGACUAAGCCAUGCGAGUCGUGAGGGUUCGGCCCUCGGCAGACGGCUCAGUAACACGUAGAUAAUUUGCCCUUAGGUGGAGGAUACCCUCGGGAAACUGAGAAUAAUACUCCAUAGAUCUAGACUGCUGGAAUGCUUUUAGAUCGAAAGAUUUAUCGCCUAAGGAUAAGUCUGCGGACUAUCAGGUUGUAGUCAGGGUAAAGACCUGACUAGCCUACGACGGAUACGGGUAGUGAGAGCUUUAGCCCGGAGAUGAUAUCUGAGACACGAUAUCAGGCCCUACGGGGCGCAGCAGGCGCGAAAACUUUGCACUGUGCGAAAGCACGACAAGGGAAUCCCAAGUGCUGGCUCGUAAGAGUCAGCUGUUUCUCUGUUUAAAAAACAGAGAGAGUAAGGGCUGGGUAAGACGGGUGCCAGCCGCCGCGGUAAUACCUGCAGCUCAAGUGGUGGCCGCUAUUAUUGGGCCUAAAACGUCCGUAGCCGGUUCUAUAAAUGCCUGGGUAAAUCGUACGGCUUAACCGUACGAAUUCCGGGUAGACUGUUCAACUUGGGACCGGGAGAGGCUAGAGGUACUCCUGGGGUAGAGGUGAAAUUCUGUAAUCCUAGGGGGACCACCAGUGGCGAAGGCGUCUAGCUAGAACGGGUCUGACGGUGAGGGACGAAGCCCUGGGGAGCAAACGGGAUUAGAUACCCCGGUAGUCCAGGGUGUAAACGCUGCUCGCUUGAUGUUAGUCGGGCUCCGAGCCCAACUAGUGUCGGAGAGAAGUUGUUAAGCGAGCUGCCUGGGGAGUACGGUCGCAAGACUGAAACUUAAAGGAAUCGGCGGGGGAGCACCGCAACGGGUGGAGCGUGCGGUUUAAUUGGAUUCAACGCCGGAAAACUCACCGGGGGCGACGGUUAUAUGAAGGCCAGGCUGAUGACCUUGCCUGAUUUUCCGAGAGGUGGUGCAUGGCCGUCGUCAGUUCGUACCGUGAGGCGUUCUGUUAAGUCAGACAACGAGCGAGACCCA
rnacentral:rRNA from 1 species